UCAAGAGUUCUCAUUUUCAACUACUAAGUUUUCAUUCAGAGAACUUACUAGUAAAUUUAUGCUGUUGGAUAGGUUGAUUUUUUUACUGAUGUUGUAAGUAAUAUUUCCAAUGUUGAUUCUGGUUUCUCCUUUUUAAGGAUUUAUGCCUGUGUUCAUCUUCCUAUCUUGCACCAUGUAGGGUUGAUAUCUUUAAAAUCUUAAAUAAAUGCAAAGCAUAGCAUGAUGAUUUUGCUGUUUAUAACAGUUGUCAUUUUUCUUAAGGUUGUAGUCAGUUGCCUUAAGGUGCCCUUCAUUUGAGCUAUCUCCAUUGUGAUGAACAGCCCAUCACCGUUCAUGCGGUGCCAUAGCAUUCAGUGCAUUUCUUCAUCAAAUUACAACCUGAAAACACACAAACCAGUUCUACUUCCCUUCACUGUUCCAUAUCGAUUUACACUAUGGUAAGAGUCAAAUGUACUAGUUCUUGCUCAAACAUCAACUCAAAAUCAAGAUGUUUCCAAGCAGUAGAAGGGUUAUGAAAGUAGCGAGAAGGGUAAGGGUGCGUCCUAGAACUUUCCCUAAGUAAGCUCGCAACUAGGAUGACAUGAGCAAGCUAAAUUAUGAAACAUCACCUAUGAAUUCUCCCAAUAUGUUGGAAACAACAAGAAUGGAGUAACCAAGCUUUGCCUCACCUUAGCUUAGAAACUUGGUCACUCAUUGUGGCAACACAAAGUGAACAAGAGCAGAAAAUUGAAACUUUAAAUUUUAUGAGUAAAAAUUCAUUUUGACAACUACAUUCUUAACUUCCUGUUGAAGAGGAUAACUAAAACUAUCCUUACAUUUCUUCCUCUCCCCUUCUUCUUGCAUCAAGCCACCCUUCACCUCUCUUAAAUAGAACUAUUUUCACACUCUUUUCCAACGGAUAGGAGACAAAGAUAGCAUGGGCAGCUUGGGGUACAACUGGCAGCAACUUGAAGUAAGGAUGGCAGUGACUUUUCUCAGCAUGGACAGUAGUUGUAGAGGUUAUUUUAGGCAUGGAAAGUAGAUGGAAAAGGUGCCUAAGAUAGCUGGAAAAGGUUGGUUCCCAUGGUUGGAUGAUGUGAUGGUCAAUAGUUGAAAAAUAUGGCAGCCAUAGAGCGGAGAAUGUGGCAGCCAAUAGCAUGAAAAUAUAGGCAGUUGGCAAAAUGUGAUGUAAACAUGCCAAAAACUAAGGAAAAUACCAAAAAGCACAUUAGACUAAAAGUUAGGGACUUGGUAAUAAAACUAGGUAAAGUGAUGUAUUUAGAACUUAAUAUCAAAUAGAAAUGUUUAAGUUAAGGCAAAAAAAGAAAAAGAAAAAAAGGGACAAACUAAGUGAUGGCCAAUGUUCGGAAAAUAUGGCAGCUAUAGAGCAGAGAAUGUGGCAGCCAAUAGCAUGAAAAUAUAGUCAAUUGGAAAAAUGUGAUGUAAAAAUGCCAAAAAAUAGAUGUAAACAUGCCAAAAACUAAGGAAAAAGCCACAAAACACAUUAGACUAAAAAAAUAGUGACUUAGUAAUAAAACUGGGUAAAGUGAUGAAUUUAGAACUUAAUAUCAAAUAUAAAUGUUUAGGUUUAGGCAAAAAAAAAAAAAAAAAAAAAAAGACAAAACUAAAUUUUUCCAUAGGAUGACUAAUGCACAUGAAAAGAGGCAAUCUUAUAAAUAGUUCAAGUAUGAAUGGGUUUGCUUUAUGUUCAUUCAUUCAAAGGACCCUUGCCAGGAGUCCCAUUAUGGGAGCUUUUUUCAGGUCCAUUGCCUCUAUUGAUAAAGAGGGGUUGGAAAGGCUUUUUGGAGAGGAAGAGGUUCUGAAGGCUUCAUCUAGUUUAUGGAGUGACAAAGCUCUAGGUCCAGAUUGUUCUUUAGCAAUUUUGUUAGCCUGUUGUAGAAAGGGAUGAUAUUUGAGUUCUUGGAGGAAUUCCAUGCAAAUGGAUCUUUUGAAAUAAGUCUUAAAUACUAUUUUUGUAGUUCUUAUUCCUAAAAAGAAUAGGGGUAGAGGAUGUCAAAGACUUUAGACUUAUCAAUGAUCUUAGAAGCCUUUAUAAGAUCUGGCAUAAAUUUUGUUAAAGAGACUGAAGAAGGUCAUUAGAAAGGUUGAGUCAGAAUCUUAAAAUGCUUUUAUGGGGAGUAGACUAAUUUCAGAUGUUGCUUUGAUCAUAAAUGAGGUAAUAAAUUCCAGUGAGAGGGGCUUGGAUGAGGGUUUAUUGUGCAAAUUAGAUAUCAAGAAAGUGUAUGAUCACAUGAAUUAGAAGUUUUUUUCUUUCUGUUAUGGAUCAAAUUGGUUUUGGGCAUAGAUAGGUGGGUUGCAUUAGUUACUGCAUUUCUGCAGCCAGUUUUUUUUUUUUUUGGUUGGUGAAUGACUAUCCUACAAGCUUUUUUCAGACCUCUAGAAAUUUUAGGUACCUAUUUAUUUGUGUUGCUAAUGGAAGCCCCUAGUGAGGAUACAUUUCAAGGGUCAUGCAAGAGGGGCUUAUUAUUGGCUUCAGGUUGGUGGAAGGAAAGGAUUAGGGCAGGAAACUCAUCCUCUCUUUCCAGAUGAUACCUGGUUGUUUUGUAAGGCUUGUGAGGAGCAGUUGAGAUAUCUUCAGUAGGUUCUGACUUACUUUAAGCUAGUGUUUGGAUCGAAGCUUAAUUUAUAAAACAGUGAGAUGAUCCUGGUGGAGAAGGUGAAGGGGGUGAAGACUUGCUUCUUUGCUUAGUUGCGGGGUGGAACUACCUAUCUAGGACUGCCUUUGGGUACUUCUCUUAACUCCUGCUUAGCAUAGGAUUCAGUGGAGGACUGCUGAAGAGGAGGCUGUCUUCUUGGAUGAAUCAAUGCUUGUUCGUAUGUAAACUGAAACUUAUUAAAAAUACUCUUUGAAGCAUGUCAAUUUAUUUCAUGUUGUUGAUUGUCAUUCCCAACAUAGUUAAAAAUAGGCUAGAGAAGAUCUAAGAAACUUCUUGUGGGGGAAUCAAGUAGAGGGGAUAAAGCUUCAUCUAGUGAGUUGGUCAAACAUGUGUGUGGGUAAAAAGGAUGGCAAUUGGGAAUCAUAAGGUUUUCUACUUUAAAUUGGGCCUUGUUUGCUAAGUGGUUGUGGGGAUAUAUACCCAAAUAACUUGUGAAAGAGGGUCACUAAGGGCAAGUUUGGGGCGUUAGAUCAAUGAUAGAGUACCCUGGAGGUGAGAGAGGUAUUUAGGGAGGAAUGUGGAAAGCCAUUAGAAGGGAAUGAUAAGAGGUUAAGAUCAAAAGUUUAAUCUUGAUUAGGGAUGGCAAUUUUAUGGGUAAUUCGGGUCACCUGACCCGCCCCACCCCUAUUGGAACGGGUAUGGGAAUAUCCUAUUCGGGUAUAGAAUGGGUUUGGGGAAUAUAUAAAAACCCGAAUUGGGUUUAGGGUGGGGAUGAGUUUUUUAGUUUCCGCCCCGCUCGUAUGUGAAUUACCAAUUCACCCUUAUGUCAUUACAAAAUACCCAAAAAGUGCUCCAUAUAUAAUCAUUUCUUCCUAAAGUUUUAAGGUUCUUUCACUCGUAAAAGAGUCAGAGGGCUUUCGUUCUCAUUUCUUCCCGUUUUCUCAUUUCUUCCUAAAUUGCUCAGGGUUUUUUUUCCUUGUAAGAGGGCGUUCGUUUUCUCAUUUCUUCCUAAAUUGCUUCUUCCCGUUUCACCCUAAAAGCACAAUUUUUGCUUUGAAAACCAGAAUACCAAAUUCGUAGACAACAAAUUAUUAGAGUUUCUAUGGAUUCCUCACUUCCAGGUAAGAAAACCCUAAGUUUUGAGGUUUUGUUAGAAAUGUCUUGUUUUUCAUAUUUUCUGGUUUUAGUUGAUGGAUUUGAGAUUUUUUGGAUUGUUUAUUUGUAGAUUUGUGCAUUUUGUUCUCGUAUGUGCAGUUUGCAAUUUUGUUGCACAACAAAUGUUUGAUUAAAUGUGGAUGAGGAGACAACACAACAUGGGUGUUGUCGGAGUAUGAAUCAUUUUGAAAGAGGUUCUUUGUAGCUUAAAUAUGAUAACCCAGAUAGCGUUUAUUGAAAUUCCAGAGACUCAUGUUCUGUAAAAGCAUAAUUCCCGAAAAUACAUUUGGGACGGGGAUGGGAUUAUCAUCUCUUUUGUAAAUGGGCAUGGGGGACACCAACUCGCCCUGCCCCGGGUUUGGGACGGGGAUGGGAAAAAAAAUGUAUAACCGAGACGGAAAUGGGGUAGGGGUGGCCCGUCCAUACCCGCCCUGUUGCCAUCCCUAAUCUUGAUGGGGAAUAGAUUAAGGACCAAGUUUUAGCGGAUAGGUGGAUUGGGGAGCAUUCUUUGAGGAAAGCCUUUCCAUCUCUUUGUACUCUUGCAUGGUCAAGAAUGGAAGAGUGACGGAUAUAUGCGUGGUGAAGGGAGAUCAAGGUCAUUGGAACCCCUUUUUUUGUAGCUCCUUUCAGGUUUGGUAUUAAGAGGUGGUGGGUUUGUUUUAUGGAGUUCGUUCAUUCCAUGGGAGUGCUUCGGGUGGGAGUGGAUAGAACAGUUUGUCAGGGAGCAAAGAAGGGAUGGUGUUUGGUAAAAUCUUAUAACAAUUUUUUGUAGGGGAGGAAGGGGAAUAAAGGUCAGGAGUGGUAAGAGAUUCCUAUGAAGUUAGGGUAUGUAAAGAGAUUGGGAAGCAAUGGAAGCUUUUUAAUUCAAUGAUUUCCUUUGAGGUGGACGAUAGGUGUAGGGUGAAGUUUUGGAAAGACAAGUGUAGUGAAGAGCCCUUAUGUGAGACUUUCCCAUCCUUGUUUGCCUUAUUUGAUUCUAAAGAGGUAUGGGUAGUUGAUUUGUGGGAACAUUGAGGAGGAGGAAAUUGGAACUUCUGUUUGGUUAGGAACUUGAAUGAUUGUGAGUUGGGUGUUAUGAAGUGUUUUCUUUCUAAACUUCAAGGACAUUUAGUGAAAAGGGAGCAAGAGGAUAGAGUAGUUUGGAAGGGUUAUAGCAAAGGGGUUUUCUCUGUAAGGGGGCUUUAUUCUUUGCUAGAGAAUGAUAGUACUAUCCCUUUCCUUUUAAAGAUAGUUUGGAACCCAUGGAUUCCUUCAAAGGUGAGUUUCUUCACUUAGGAGGCUUGUUGGGGAAAUGUUUGGACUUUGGAUUAGCUUCAACGAAGAUGGUGGAUUUUGACCAAUGAGCGUGCAUUGUGCAAAGAGGAGUUAAAGUCCAUUGAUCACAUUCUUCUUCAUUAUGACAAGACGAGAUUAUUAUGGCGGUUGGUGUUCAGUGGGUUAUUUUUUAGUCAAUUAGGGAGACCCUCCUUGGGUGGCGUGGGUCUUUUACAGAGAGAAGAUGUAUUAAGGCUUGGAGAGUAGCUCAUUGCAUUUUCUGGACAAUCUGGAAGGAAAGAAAGAGGAGAUACUUUGCCCUCUCAGAUCUAAACGGGGACAAGGCUCCUGGUCCAGACGGCUUUUCUCUCAGCUUUUGGCAGUUUAGCUGGGAUUUUGUGAAAGAUGAGGUUAUGGGCUUUAUGAAGGAGUUCCACGAGCAUGGCAGAUUUGUGAGGAGCCUGAAUUCAACUUUCCUAGUCCUUACCCCUAAAAAACCGGAUGCGGAGGACCUUAAAGAUUUCAGACCGAUUAGCUUGAUAGGUGGAUUGUAUAAACUGUUGGCAAAAGUGCUAGCAAACAGGAUCAAGAAAGUGGUGGGAAAGGUGGUGUCUUCAGCUCAAAACGCCUUUGUUGAAGGAAGACAAAUUUUGGAUGCUGCCCUAAUUGCCAAUAAGGCAAUAGAUUCAUUGCUGAAGAGAAAUGAGAGUGGGGUGUUGUGUAAGCUAGAUAUAGAGAAGCCGUACGAUCACUUGAAUUGGAAUUUUCUACUAUUGGUAUUGCAAAGAAUGGGGUUUGGGGAGAAGUGGACUGGCUGGAUCUCCUGGUGUAUCUCCACAACGACGUUUUCAGUCUUGAUCAAUGGCACUCUAGCCGGUUUUUUCAAUAGUUCAAGGGGUUUGCGUCAGGGGGAUCCUCUCUCUCCCUACCUAUUUGUUAUCGGGAUGGAGGCUUUUAGUAAGCUCAUCCUUAGAGCAGUGAGGGGGGGUUUUCUUUCGAGCUGCAGGAUAAAAGGAAGAAGUGGAGACGGGGCUGUGGUAACUCAUUUGCUGUUCGCCGAUGAUACUUUAGUUUUUUGUGAAGCUUCCCAAGAUCAUAUGACUCAUAUAAGCUGGUUGUUGAUGUGGUUUGAAGCCAUAUCAGGUUUGAAGAUUAAUUUGGAUAAGAGCGAGAUUUUGCUGGUUGGGAGAGUAGAGAAUUUGGAGGCUUUGGCUCUUGAGGUUGGUUGUAAAGUGGGAAGGCUGCCAAAUUCUUACUUGGGGAUCCCUUUGGGGGCGAAUCACAAGUCCGUGGCUGUUUGGGAUGGGGUGGAAGAGAGAUUUCGGAGAAGGCUUGCCUUGUGGAAAAGGAAUUAUAUCUCCAAAGGCGGUAGAAUUACCCUAAUUCGUAGUACUUUGUCAAGUAUGCCCAUAUACUUGAUGUCUUUACUUCGAAUUCCAAGAGUGGUUAGUUUAAGAUUGGAAAAAAUUCAAAGGGAUUUUUUGUGGGGGGGAGGAGCUUUGGAGAGGAAGCCUCAUCUAGUAAAUUGGGAUUCCGUGUGCUCGGACAUAAGGAAGGGUGGCUUGGGAGUUAGAUGUUUGUCUACUCUCAAUAGAGCCCUUUUAUGCAAGUGGAACUGGCGGUUUGCGAAUGAAAGGGAGGCUCUUUGGAGGGAAGUCAUUAGUAGGAAGUUCGGGGAGGAAGAAGGGGGCUGGUAUACUAGAGAAGUUAGGGAGGGGUUUGGAGUAGGCUUGUGGAAGGAAAUAAGGAAGGAAGGAGCUCUCUUGCAAAACAAAGUUGUCUUUUCUGUGGGGAAUGGUAGAAGGGUGAAAUUUUGGAAUGAUAAUUGGUGUGGGAAUUUCUCUCUCAGUAAUUUGUUUCCCUCUUUGUAUACCUUUGCUUCAUUUAAAGAGGUUUGGCUAGUGGAGUUAUGGGAUUAUUCGGGAGAUGAAGGGGUUUGGAAUCCUAGCUUCUCUAGGUCCUUUAAUGACUGGGAGGUGGAGGGGGUGGAGAGAUUACUUCUGACAAUCCGGGGUAGGAGGCUUAAUCCUCUUUUGGAAGAUAGAAUGCUGUGGAAAGAUACUAAAGAUGGGAUUUUCUCAGUUAAGUCCCUUUAUAGUUUGCUAGCUUCAAGAAGAGAUGUUCAGUUCCCUUAUAGUAAUAUUUGGAGUAUUUGUGUGCCUACCAAAGUGAGCUUCUUUGCUUGGGAAGCUUAUUGGGGUAAGGUGCUAACCUUGGAUCAACUUAAAAAGAGGGGCCGGUCUCUAGCUAACAGAUGCUUCCUUUGUGGUAUGGAAGAAGAGUCAAUUGAUCAUAUUCUUAUUCAGUGUUCUAAGGCAAGAGGGUUAUGGGAGUUAUUGUUUGCUCUGUUUGGUGUUACUUGGGUCCUCCCUUCUUCGGUUAGAGAUACUAUUAGUGGUUGGUGUGGCUUUAAGUUGGGCAAGAAGCGUAGGAAGGUGUGGAACGCAGCCCCUUUGUGCAUUUUUUGGGCGGUUUGGAAGGAAAGAAACAGGAUAGCUUUUGAUAAUGAAGAGUUAUCAAUUCAUAGGUUGAAGAAUUCUUUUGUUUGUAAUCUUUGGCUGUGGACUAAAUCGGUUGUAAAUGAGGGUCCUCUUCCUUUGAUCAAUUUUUUUGAUUGGCUAGGCGCUAGUUGAGGGCUGGUAUUGUAUCUCUAUUUCUUUUUGUGCCUAUUGGCGCCUCUUGUAUACAUCCUGUAUGCUUGGGUCAGCCUCAAGGCGCCCUUUUCUAAUAUAUUUUUGUUGUGUGUUUGCCUACCAAAAAAAAAAGAAAGAGGAGAUACUUUGAUAGUGAAAAAUUGUCUGAUCAAAAUCUAAAAAAUAUAUAUCUAAACAAUUUCUCUGUGUGGGUCAGGGCAUAUAUAGGUGGAGGAUAUACACAUAUAGUUGAUUUCAUAGAUUAGUUGGGUUUUGGAUGAGAGGGGGGGUAUUUUUUUUUGUAUUCUCUCAUGUUUUUUUCUUAGUUCUCUUUGUAUAUGACAUGUAUAUUCUUUUGCGCUUUUUGCGUUUUUAUUAAUACAACCUCUUACAUAUCAAAAAAAAGAAAAAAAACUUACUUUGGUUGCUCAAUUGUUUGUACAAAUAAGAGAAAAGGGGGUUUUGGUAUUAGCAAUCUCUCUUUUUUGUAUUAGGCUCUUAUUGGCAAGUUUAGCUCGAAAUAUGUGGGAAAGUUUUUUGUAAGUAGAUUAUGGUGGGGAAGUAUGAGAAGGAAGGAGUGGGUUGGCACCCUUAUGAAUUUACAUGUGAUUAUAGGGUUGGGUUGGUCUCUGGAAAGCUAUUAGGAAGAUGUGAGAUUUUUUCUUUAAUAAAACCUCCUUUGAAGUGGGUAAUGACAAAAAGGUUGAGUUUUGGAUGGACAGAUGGUAUGUAGAGGAGCCCUUGUGUAAUUCUUUUCCCUUUUUAUAUGUGUUGGCUCUAUCAAAGGAGGCUUGGAUGGCGGAAUUGUGGAAAGACAUAUAAGGGGGGAUAUUGGUUCCCACGUUUCACUAGGCAUUUUAAUGAUUGGGAGUUGGAAGUUGUUGAGACUUUGUUUUCCAUGUUGUGAUAAAAGAUAAUUAGAAGGGCAAUUUAAUGAUUAGGUGAUUUGGAAAGAAGCUAAAAAAUGACUAUUUUUAGUCAAAUCUUUCUAUGUGGCUUUGGAAGUGGGGAGGACGGUCCUUUUUCCAAAGAAAAUAUCUAGAACCCAUGGGUCCAAUCUAAAGUGAGUUUUUUUGCAUGAGAAGCUAGUUAGGGAAAAGUUUUGACUUUAGAUAAUCUCCAAAAAAGAGGGCGAUCAGUAGUGAAUAGAUGCUAUCUGUGCAAAUUAGAUGGGAAAUCUAUUGACCUUAUUCUUCUUCACUCCAAAGCAAGGAUUCUAUGGUGCCUAUUGUUUUCCUUAUUCAGUGUAGAUUGAGUGAUCCCUUCUUUGGUGAAAGAUACCCUUUUAAGUUGGCAGGACUCCUUUGUAGGAAAGAAAAAGAAAAAGGUGUGGAAAGUCACCCCCUUUUGCAUUUUUUGAACAAUUUGGUGGGAGAGUAAUCAAAGAGUUUUUUAAGAUAAGGAUUAGAAUAAUCAAAAUUUAAAACUUUUGUUCCUAUGUAAUCUUUUAGCUUGGGUUAACAUGUACAUAAGUGAAGACACAAUGCCUUUGUUUGAUUUUAUAGAGUGGGUAGGGUCCAGUUGAGUGUCAUGGGUGUUUUUUGUGUACACCUCAUUUGAGGCCUUACCUUAGGUGCUCCUUGUAUACAUCCUAUGUACUCUGAUGUACCUUUUUCUAUUACUAACUUAUACAUGCCUAUCAUUACCUAUUAAAAAAAAAACUUUAUUUACCUAUCAGAAAAAGAAAAAAGAAAAAAAAGGAGACCCAUCAUAGAAGACAUUUAUAUAGGAAAUAGAUCAAACACAUUUGUUUAAGAUUAGAAUUUUGAGAGUUUAUUACUACACCAUAAAUAUGUGAUAUCCCUAUUGGUACUUAUCUAAGGCAAGAUAGAAACGUUUCUUUCAUCCCAAGAACUUUGCCUUACAUCAACAGGAAUGAUACCUCAUUUUAUUUUUAUCUCACAUUUCUUAUUAUUAUUAGAAGAAACAAAUAAACUUGAUAAGAUAAUGAGCUGAGAACAAAAAUGGCUGGAUGACAGGGUAUAGAUCUGCAAGUAAGUUUAAUAUUUUGACAGCUAAUUACUUUAUUUUGGUACAUGAGGUCAAACUUGGAACCUCUUUAUCCCCAACCCUAACUUUUUGUCACUUGAGCCAUGCCUUAGGGAGUUAAUUCUACAAAUAUAUAGUUACUUGUUUGACUAUUUAAGUAAGCAACAAGGAGAUAAUUGUAAAAUUAUAACAUAGUAAUCAUUAUUAAUACAAUUCCUUUCUUUUUAUGAACUGUAAUAAGAUAAUGAGAUGGCAUUUUCUGAUAGUGGCUAUGCUUUUUAUUGUAAUAAUUCUUAUAAUUAAUAAUGCAACUGUGUAACAAUAAUUAGUAUAUUAUAAAUGGUAUGAUACUAGUAAGCAAUAUUAUUAUUAUUAUUUGCAAAAUAAUUAUUUUACAAUGGCAAAAUAUAUAUAUAUAUAUAUGUUAUUUCUCAUAAAAUGUAGGCACUUUUUGUAAUAUAUAGCUAUUAGUGAAAUAUUGAUAGCACAACUAUUACAAUAAAAAGAUCAUACUUUGACGAUUAAUAUUCUUUUAUGGUAAUUAUUUGUGAAGGGGUAGGAAAUAUAUGGCUUUUUAGAAGUUGUUGAUCCACUGCUGCUGCAUUGACAUGCUUUUUAUAUGGGAAUGAUGUCCCUAGCAACAAAUGGAGCAUUCUAAUUGGACUUGCCAAGCUGUAAUGCUUUUGAGCUUUUGGGCAGAGGUUCACUACAACUCAAUAUAUUUUAAAGGAGAUGUGCCUGAAUUUGAGACUAAGAAGAAGAAGAGAUGGUGG